GAAAGAUGGAGAAGCCCAGGGAGAUUCAUGGACUGGAUAUGGAAGGAUCUCCAGCCUGGAGUGGAACCCAACACUAGGUCUCCAACAACUGGUGCUUGAGUCAUUGGCCUUCUCAAGUGGUGAGCAACAGAUGUGGAUUUAUGGUUUCAAAACCAGCUGGCCUUGUGAACGAGGGAGGUGUAUGCUCAACCUCCAUUCUCCAUGGAGCCUCACAUCAGCCUGCAUCCUUCCCCAUCACUCCAGAAUCCAAUACCAACCUCACAUACACAGUUCAGGAUGCUUGGGGCUAUGUGUGCAGUCACUGGAGGUUCUCCACUCACUAACACUCUGGUGCAUUUAUUUUGCACGGGAACAACUACGGCCAUCUCCUGCAUGUCAGGAUGUGUACAUCCCU